rnacentral:tRNA from 5 species
GGGUUGCUAACUCAACGGUAGAGUACUCGGCUUUUAAUUUCCGGGUUCGAGUCCCGGGCAACCCA